ACAUGCAAGUCGAACGGCAGCACGGGUGCUUGCACCUGGUGGCGAGUGGCGAACGGGUGAGUAAUACAUCGGAACAUGUCCUGUAGUGGGGGAUAGCCCGGCGAAAGCCGGAUUAAUACCGCAUACGAUCUACGGAUGAAAGCGGGGGACCUUCGGGCCUCGCGCUAUAGGGUUGGCCGAUGGCUGAUUAGCUAGUUGGUGGGGUAAAGGCCUACCAAGGCGACGAUCAGUAGCUGGUCUGAGAGGACGACCAGCCACACUGGGACUGAGACACGGCCCAGACUCCUACGGGAGGCAGCAGUGGGGAAUUUUGGACAAUGGGCGAAAGCCUGAUCCAGCAAUGCCGCGUGUGUGAAGAAGGCCUUCGGGUUGUAAAGCACUUUUGUCCGGAAAGAAAUCCUUGGUUCUAAUAUAGCCGGGGGAUGACGGUACCGGAAGAAUAAGCACCGGCUAACUACGUGCCAGCAGCCGCGGUAAUACGUAGGGUGCGAGCGUUAAUCGGAAUUACUGGGCGUAAAGCGUGCGCAGGCGGUUUGCUAAGACCGAUGUGAAAUCCCCGGGCUCAACCUGGGAACUGCAUUGGUGACUGGCAGGCUAGAGUAUGGCAGAGGGGGGUAGAAUUCCACGUGUAGCAGUGAAAUGCGUAGAGAUGUGGAGGAAUACCGAUGGCGAAGGCAGCCCCCUGGGCCAAUAC
rnacentral:rRNA from 1 species